UACGAAGGGGGCUAGCGUUGUUCGGAAUUACUGGGCGUAAAAGCGCACGUAGGCGGAUCGAUCAGUCAGGGGUGAAAUCCCAGGGCUCAACCCUGGAACUGCCUUUGAUACUGUCGAUCUGGAGUAUGGAAGAGGUGAGUGGAAUUCCGAGUGUAGAGGUGAAAUUCGUAGAUAUUCGGAGGAACACCAGUGGCGAAGGCGGCUCACUGGUCCAUUACUGACGCUGAGGUGCGAAAGCGUGGGGAGC
rnacentral:rRNA from 1 species